ensembl:lncRNA
GGAUCCACCCCUUCCAGCCCUCAUUUAAGGGCUGGCAGUGGAGGUGUGGGCAUCUCUCUUUAGAGGUCCUUGCUUAUCUGGGGUCUUCUGAAGGACAUGACAGUCUGAGAAGACUGAUUCCUCCAAGAAGUGGAGAAGCCUCCAUGCCAGUGAGCAAUGUGUAUUUGAUCCAAGUGCUGUCUCCCAGAGAGCAGAGAAGACACAGAGCUGCACAAUCAUUCCCACAGCACUGAGGGUCAAACACUCCUUCUCACAGCUGAGCUGAGCAGACCCAGGUGGGAGAAGAUGAAGAGAGAUAACAAAUCAAAACCUGGGGCAGGGAAAGGGGAAUGGUGCCUGGUGUGGCUCCCAGGACAGGGCUGUGUGUGUUCCUGGCCACAGGAGCUGGUGGCUCAUGUGCUGUGUAAUGCUUGGAGUUUGGACAUGGCCUUUGAGUUCUCCUCUCAGUUCCUUUUAUUCCCUGCUAGGUUUACACAGCCUCUCAACUUCUAGUGUAUAUUUAGUACAAAGAAAAACACCAUUAAAAUGCCGAGGAGGCUUUCUAGACAAUUGCUUUAUUAUAUUAAACCAACUUCAAGUCUAAACUCUGCUUCUGUGAAGUUACUCACUGGAUGGGAUGCUUCAGACCUAAAUUACCAACCAAGUGCAACUGUCACCAAAAACAGCUUGGAGCUUUCAGAGGUCAACCAGAGCAGGCAAGAACUUUAACAAGAGGACCCCUGACCUCAAGGAUCUGCACACAGCCCUUCUGCAUCAGCUGCAAUCCCAAAGACAGACAUCCUUCACUGCAGGAGGCACCUUCCCCAACCCUGGUGCUGCCACCUGAGCAGUGCUGCAGCUCUGAAGUGCCGAUGCCUCUGUGUGCAGCUCUCUGGCACACGCUUGCUCUGCUCCUACCGAUGCUUCAGAGGAGAAUCAGUCUGAGCACCACAGCCUGUUUGUCACCCAGUGAAACCCAAGAGCUGCAUCCAUUUUUAGCACCUGGCUGCUUGCCUGAAGAUAUGUUGCAUUAUCUGACCAACACGUAAGGGAACAAAAUGAACUGCAGCUCCCCCUGCCACUUAUUUACCUUCAGUUUAAACAGUGCCUCUGCAGCCUGCUGCACUCCCUCCUGUGCACCCAUUUACUCAGCACCUCUUGCAGGGCUGCUCUAUUUUUAAAAGCGUGCUGCUGGCUUUUAUCUUCAGCUGCCUUUUUUUUUUUUUUUUUUUUUAGCUCUUGUACUCUCUAAACUUACUUAAAACAUGUUGGCAGAUAAAAGUAGAAGGGGAGAUAUAGCAAAUGCAGCGCGUUUGGCAUUGGUAAUUAAGAAUUAAGGCAAGAGAUAACAGCAGAGGUUAAAAAUGAAGCACUAAGCUGAACAGCAGUGGUGCCCGUGCUCAGCAGGUGAGCUGGGAUGAGGGAGCUCUGAGGCCACAAGCACUGCAUGCCACCAGGUGCUGAGUGCACCAAUGCAUCACCCCAACACAUGUAAACCACUUCAAAAUCUGGGCAUCAUUAGAGCUAGGAGUCCUGCUCCCCUGAGGUGUUUUUUUGUUGUUGUUGUUAAACAAAUUUGGUGACUCUCUUUGCCAGGUUUGCUUCUGCCCUAUUUGUAUAAAACCUUCAGUUAUAAUAUUUUGGUUGCGUUUUGGUUUCUGUCUGUUUCAUGCUAUCCAUAGCCUUUGUUUUUUCUCUAUGGAUUUAACCUGAAAACUUAGAGGAAAUCACAGGCUCCUGGACUUGUGUACAUGUUAUGGCUUCCCACAGUGCAUCUGUCUCUGUAUUUGGGGGAAAUGCUCCCUCAGAUGGAGCAAGAGUUGGGGCUUUGUUUGCCUGACGCUCAGGUGCCAGCUGUGCCCUACGGGGCUGCCCUGUGCUCCCAUGUGCUCCUGCAGCAGCCCCACAGCCGCCUCUGGUACACUGUGCACGUCUGGGGCUGAGCUCAGCUCCAUUUCACAUUCAGGCUGUCUCAGAGCUGGUUGGAAUGAGGGCUCGCUAAAGCUCCCAUCAGAUGCUGACGGGCCUUUUUGUGCCAGGAAAACGGAUGUGUGUGACAACAGCAAAAGUGCCUGGAAGCAUCCCAAAGGCUGAGUGAAAAAAGGGAAUUUUGAGUGACACCAAACAAAAGGAGCAGUGAUUUAAUCGCCGCAGAUGGGGAGGGGGGAGCGGUGUCAGGAAAAGCAGGAGGCUGAGAUUAGCCAGGCAAUAAAAUGAAAAUGGGCAAGAGGUGGAGCAAACUGUGCUGAGAUAAGGGGAGGUGGAUUUCAGCGGUGGCAGAUGGAGGGGGAGCUGGCAGCCAGAGAGGGAACAAAAGAAAACCCAACAGGUAAUAAAUCUGUAAAAAUCUCCGUCAACAACUUGAAAUACCAUUUCCAAACUGCUUUCUCCAGGGAGCUGUGAUUACAGCAGAUGGAUGUGCAGGGCUGCGUGCUCUCCUCAGAUGCACUGAGGACCUCCAGUCAGGUGAGUGGGGCCUGAGCUCCUCCAGGCAGCACAGUCCUGCCACAACAGAGUCAUCAAACAGCAAAAGGUGAAAGAAACAGCUUCUUCCUUGGCUGACCAUUUGACUCAGCCUGAGUCAGCAGCACAAAGGCAAUGUGCUGUGUUUCCUCCAGCCCUGCAGCAGCACACUGCACCAGGUAUCAGUUCUGGGUGAUAAGGCAGCUGUUAGUGAGAAACUCAUUAAUGAGUAAAGCUGGCAAUAGGUGAUUGAUAAUAAGCAGGCACCUGGCCACUUUUUAGGAGUCAUUAAGGCCUUGAGCACAAAGGUUUUAGCAGGUAAUCUCUAGAAUAUCUUCAGCUGUGUCAUCUUGGAAAGGCCAUGAUGUGCCUUUGCAGACUUCUGUGUCCCCCACACAAAUCCCCCGGUUGCCCACUGCUGCAGGUGGGUCUGUCCCAGCCUUCCCUGCCUCCAUUUCAUCUGUUAGAUGAAAAAUCAUUUAUUUGGUAUUAUAUUCUGGGAGAAGGGAGAACAUCUGGGUACUGCAAGAACAAAAAGGGAAAUAGGUGAAAUACGAGGGUUGCUGUGCUGGCAAUUUCCUACCCAAAUGUAGGCAUGGUCCCACUGCUGCUGAGCUGGGUUCAAUGAGCCCUACUUCCAGGCUGCCCCUUCCUUAUACCCGUGUGGGUCCUUCUUUCUCCCUCUGCCUCUUCAGCCUAUGUAACAUCUCCCUAGCACAAAAGAACAAAAUUUUACCAUAAAAGGGUAUAGAUGAUUGUUUAAAAAAAAAAUAAUAAUUAUGCUUUAAAGGCUUCCACUAGCUUUCCCACAUCAUUUGCAACAGGUAGGGCAAAAAGGAUCCUUACUUGUGGCCUAUAACAAUCAUAGACCAGAAAUGAAAUUUCACAGCAUGCACGGAGAAAAGACCAAAUGUAAAGGAAAGGGGGGGGAAAUGCAGCCCUUCCCCAGCUGUGAGCAGUGAGGGGGCACAGGGCAGCAGGGAGCUGGGCUGGAGCUCUUUGUCCAGGAGCUUUCUUAGAAGCCCCUGGGACUCCUCACCAUCGGCAUGUGAUUGGGAACAAGAAGCAGUUCUACAGUGCUGAGAUGACUGCAAAAUCGGGGCAGCCUGUUUGCUUUUUUUAAGGGCAUUUUUUUUCCCUUAGGGAAGCACUGCGGUCAGCCAGAAGUUCUUGGACAGACGGUGGGAGUUAAGUGCAUGAAAUCCAACACUCCGUGUCAUAUACCAGAGGCUGAGCCAGCUCAUCCCGCUCGAAACUCCGACUAAAAACAUCAUCUAAAAACAGCUCCUCGUGCUGGUGCCCAGAGGGGAGGAGCAGAACCCAGCGGGCACAGACGGAGCUUCAAUAAAUAGCGGAGCCUACAGGACC